AGAAGUUGCCAGGUCUAAGAAGCCUGAUUAAAAUCUCUAGAUAGUAAGAGAGAACCUCAUAAGGGUUCAUUUUCCAUCUCGAAUCUAUUCGCAAGUUUUGAGAUUAGCUACCUCAGAAUUUAGUGAACGUUGAUAACGUUGUAUGUCUGGAAAACAUACUAAAUAAUCUCCU
ncrna:unclassified sequences RAGATH-14 RNA